rnacentral:rRNA from 1 species
CCUACGGGAGACAGCAGUCGAGAAUCUUUCACAAUGGGGGAAACCCUGAUGGUGCGACGCCGCGUGGGGGAAUGAAGGUCUUCGGAUUGUAAACUCCUGUCAUGUGGGAGCAAAUUAAAAAGAUAGUACCACAAGAGGAAGAGACGGCUAACUCGGUGCCAGCAGCCGCGGUAAUACAGAGGUCUCAAGCGUUGUUCGGAAUCACUGGGCGUAAAGCGUGCGUAGGCUGUUUCGUAAGUCGUGUGUGAAAGGCGCGGGCUCAACCCGCGGACGGCACAUGAUACUGCGAGACUAGAGUAAGGGAGGGGGAAGCGGAAUUCUCGGUGUAGCAGUGAAAUGCGUAGAUAUCGGGAGGAACACUCGUGGCGAAGGCGGGUUCCUGGACAUUAACUGACGCUGAGGCACGAAGGCCAGGGGAGCGAAAGGGAUUAGAUACCCCAGUAGUC